GCCUGGGUAGCUCAGUGGUAGAGCACGUACUUGGUAAGUACGGG
rnacentral:tRNA from 1 species